UGGGCUUCUCUCUAUAUGAGUAUAAACUAGAGGAUACUGAUGGUGUCUCAGUCUUCUGGGCAUCUGGUCCAGGAACAGGUGGAACUUUCAGAGCUUCUUCAGGUAAAUGACUGUCUGAUAGGGUCUGCUGGUAGAAAAUGACAGGCUUCCCCCUAUUUGAGUAGCUAGUAGAAUGUACUGGUAAUGUCUCAGUCUUCUGGUCAGCUGGUCCAGGAGCAGCUGAAACUUUCACAACCUCUUUAUUUAGAGGACUGUCUAGCAGAGCCUGCCGGUAGAAAGUAAUGGGCUUCUCUCCAAGUGCACUGGAACCUAAAGGUCCUGCUGGCUGGCAGAAGACAUAAGGUCUUCAGUCAGAGACAAAAGACUUCAUGAUCCCUGGUACAGCAAAGGCUCAUCAGC
rnacentral:lncRNA from 10 species